rnacentral:lncRNA from 1 species
ACAGGUCUAACAUAGUCGCCACCAACGCGACCUGCAGGCAGGUCCAACGACCCCCACAGCAAAGACGGUCAAAUCUCGGGUGGCUUUCCCAGUGAACAGUUGCAUCUCUCCCGGCCGCAAACAGUAUCAUCCUUCAGUGUCUUCCCCUUCGUCAACCUCCUCGCAGUAACCUUCUCACCAGUAACCCAAACCCAGAACCGAGAUUUCGAGCAAUAGAGCCGUCAGAUCUCAGUCCCGGAGUGCUUCCCAAAACCACCAGAGGUUUCAACCACCUUAACGGCUUCAGUACUCGGGUUGGCGGUCGUUCCUCCAGUUCCCAGAGCUGGGUCCUCCACGGCCACCGUAGCCGCCACCACCACCGCCUCCGUAGCCUCCACCACGGCUUCCUCCAUAACCACUACCUUCACGGUCACCUCCUCCACGGCUUCCACCGUAACCUCCUCCAUAGCCACCUCCUCCUUGCUCUCUGCGGCCGUAGCCACCACCGCCGCCACCGCCACCACCGCCUCCACCACGAGACUGGGCUUGGUUGACGGUGAUGUUGCGACCGUCCAACUCCUGGCCGUUCAUCUCCUUGAUGGCAGCGUUCAUUGAGUUCUCAUCGGCGAAAGUAACAAACCCAAACCCGCGAGACCUUCCGGUCUCCCUGUCAGAGAUCACCUUACUCUGCACAACCUCGCCGAAGGGACGGAACGCACCCUCCAGGCGGCCGUCGGUAGUGGCCCAGGCCAACCCUCCGACAAAGCACCUGAAUUCUUCUCCACCGGCCAUCUUGGUAGAGUGAAAGCUGCGGAACAAGAAACAAGUCACAAGAGACCAGUAAAGUAACAAGAGGCGCAGGGAAGAAGGUAUCCCUGGAGGCCUCUGAGAAGAGAGCGAAGCGGACCGGGACGAAGGAAUGGGAGAGCACUACUCGAUACAUCGCAACGACGAGCUUAUGAGGGGGACGGGUGGGCGCCCCUACCGUCGGCCGACUCGCGGUCGGUCCAGCGAGUUAGUGCCAUCAGAGCCCAACAUCCGGUGGUCGCGCCUACUGCCUCUUCUGACGCGGCUGCUGCAUCGGGACCGUCAGAUGCAUCCUAUUCUGGUGGGAGAUAUUUUGUGGUCUGGACAAAAAGUUGCUCAAGGGUUUUUCGAGUUUAGGGCAGAUCCUUCCCCGGCACCGCUCCAGCCUUUGCACUUGCAUAGUAGACAGGAACUGCACACGUGGUAUCUAGGAUCCAUUUGACUAGAUAUUCGUAAAAUCUUGGCAUAAUAUACAAAUAUAUAUAUUUAUUAAACUUAUCUUGCCAACCCGCAUUGAUCCGUGAAUAUGUUUACGUGAUGAUUUCGAAAAAUGACAUUGUCCUAUUAGGUUGGCUAGAUAAAUUUAUUGGAGAUGGAAAAGAAUUGGGCUUUCCCUUUAGUAUUUUUUUAGUUUUUUAAAUCUUUUUUCCUACGAACUUGUGACUAAAUCUACAACCAAUCAUCUUGAUUGAUUCCAGAAGAAAAAAAAGUUGUAUGUGUGUGUUGAGAAAGACACCA